AGCAGCCGCGGUAAUUCCAGCUCCAAUAGCGUAUAUUAAAGUUGUUGCAGUUAAAAAGCUCGUAGUUGAAUUUCGGGGUCUGUCCGUCGGUCGGGCUUCACGGUCCGUACUGGUGUGAUGGGUUCCUACCUUCUGAAUAACCGGCAUGCCAUUCAGUUGGUGCGCCGGGGAAGCAGAGCUAUUACCUUGAAAAAUUAGAGUGCUUAAAGCAGGCUAGUGCUUGAAUAGAUUAGCAUGGAAUAAUAAAAUAGGACGGCAUGGUUCUAUUUUGUUGGUUUCUAGGAUCACCGUAAUGAUUAAUAGGGAUAGUUGGGGGCAUUAGUAUUCAAUUGUCAGAGGUGAAAUUCUUGGAUUUAUUGAAGACUAACUUCUGCGAAAGCAUUUGCCAAGGAUGUUUUCAUUAAUCAAGAACGAAAGUUAGGGGAUCGAAGACGAUCAGAUACCGUCGUAGUCUUAACCAUAAACUAUGCCGACUAGGGAUCGGACGAUGUUAAUUUUUAAUGACUCGUUCGGCGUCCUU
rnacentral:rRNA from 1 species